CCCCAAUCGCCGGCCGGCGUAGCGUCAGCGGUCCCGCCCCGCCGUGACGGUCCUUCCGGCUGCUGGUGUGUUUGGCACGGGGCUGUCCGCUUCCUGCCGGUGUGGCAGUUGGGGAAGGAGCGCCUUUCUUCUCUUGCGCGCCGGCUGUCGGUCCGUCGCGAUAAUAUAUAUCAAGCGAAGGCUUAAUUUCCACAUCACCUGAUCAUGGUCGGCAUGAUUUUACACAAGCUUCAGAUGCCGGUCGCGCACGAGGGCGCUCCCAUAGUGCUUUCAGGAUUACUCAAGUCCGUGUUAGAUGAGAUGUGUUUCAUCACCUCACUCAUUUCUGCACCAGUUCUGCAAACUGCACAUUUCUGACUGCGAGGACGUGAUGCGGCUGUUCGUUUUUACAGGAAAUUAUUAACACACAAACACCUGAAAUCCUUUUACUCUUAUUUACUGUCAUUUUUCUUGUGUAAAAUAACCUGAGCGAAAAGAAAACACUGCAUGGAAAAACUAGAAAUAAAUGUAUAAUGUGUAUAAGGUUUGUGUUUGGAUGCAUAGCAGAUAACACAAAUGAUCGAGUCGUGAAACAUUCGAGGUGAUAUUAGUUCAAAAGUCUGUGCUCCUCUUUCUGAAUGUGAUAUCACAGCUAAUUAAGCGCUGUGAGCGGUUUACUUUUUUCUUUAUUGUGUUGCUUGGAAUUCAUUUCAGUGGGUGGGGAGCAACACAUUUUUAUCAUAUUAAUAACACAUUUAUGAUAGUUUCACUGACAAUGAUUAAAAUAAGAUCUCGGAAGCAGGAAGCUGGAGAUCACAACUCUGUCAUUUUCAAUCUCUGUGCUUUUGAGCUACAAAGUGGGAAAAAACGUGGACUCCUCUAUGCUUGUCUUUUGUUAGCGAUGAGCAAGGAGUAACAGUAUUUACCUCAGAACAGUGAAGUGUAGAGUCACUGCCCCAUGAAGUUCC
ensembl:lncRNA